GAUGAACGCUGGCGGCGUGCCUAAUACAUGCAAGUCGAGCGAACAGAUGAGGAGCUUGCUCCUCUGACGUUAGCGGCGGACGGGUGAGUAACACGUGGAUAACCUACCUAUAAGACUGGGAUAACUUCGGGAAACCGGAGCUAAUACCGGAUAAUAUAUUGAACCGCAUGGUUCAAUAGUGAAAGACGGUUUUGCUGUCACUUAUAGAUGGAUCCGCGCCGCAUUAGCUAGUUGGUAAGGUAACGGCUUACCAAGGCGACGAUGCGUAGCCGACCUGAGAGGGUGAUCGGCCACACUGGAACUGAGACACGGUCCAGACUCCUACGGGAGGCAGCAGUAGGGAAUCUUCCGCAAUGGGCGAAAGCCUGACGGAGCCACGCCGCGUGAGUGAUGAAGGUCUUCGGAUCGUAAAACUCUGUUAUUAGGGAAGAACAAAUGUGUAAGUAACUAUGCACGUCUUGACGGUACCUAAUCAGAAAGCCACGGCUAACUACGUG
rnacentral:rRNA from 1 species